rnacentral:sRNA from 1 species
CAUCAAGGAGAAGAACAUUCCACCCACGUUUGGAUUCUGGAAUAUCAUCCCUGCUUCCAUCAGAUUCUUGUAAGUACCUCACUUUGCAGAAGGUAGAACAACAUGACAUUCAAGGAAGUCAGCUGUGUUGCCCAAGAGUAAGAGAAGGCAAAAACAUGCUAACUGACAAGAAAAUCAUAGGUUUUAUACAAGGAUAACAAGUGCUGGGUUGCUUAGCUAUGAGGAAGGCUAGGCUCACUGCAUACCAGAAGGUGCACAGUUUUGGAGAAUGCAGGGAUUUUUAUCAGCAAUCAAACUACAUUUGUGGAAAUUUUGUGCAUAAGUGCCAAAGAAGGUUGACAUCUGACCACAUUCUAUUUAACUCAACUGAAUGACACCAAGCUCUCAUCCUAAAACUUAUAGUUACAUCCACCCUUCUGAAAUAUUUAAUUAUUCUCCAAUACACUGGAGGUAAUAGGUAUAAAAAGAAUGUGCAUGUGCAACUUAGCAUCUCA